rnacentral:rRNA from 1 species
CUACGGGCCGCUCCAGUGGGGAAUAUUGCACAAUGGGGGAAACCCUGAUGCAGCAACGCCGCGUGGAGGAUGACGCAUUUCGGUGUGUAAACUCCUUUUAUAUAGGAAGAUAAUGACGGUACUAUAUGAAUAAGCACCGGCUAACUCCGUGCCAGCAGCCGCGGUAAUACGGAGGGUGCAAGCGUUACUCGGAAUCACUGGGCGUAAAGCGCGCGCAGGCGGUCUGAUAAGUUGGAUGUGAAAGCCUACGGCUCAACCGUAGAACUGCAUCCAAAACUGUCAGACUAGAGUCUGGGAGGGGAAGAUGGAAUUAGUUGUGUAGGGGUAAAAUCCGUAGAGAUAACUAGGAAUACCAAAAGCGAAGGCGAUCUUCUGGAACAGUACUGACGCUGAGGCGCGAAAGCGUGGGGAGCAAACAGGAUUAGAUACCCCGGUAGUC